AGAGUUUGAUCCUGGCUCAGAUUGAACGCUGGCGGCAUGCCUAACACAUGCAAGUCGAACGGAGACGAUGGGAGCUUGCUCCCAGGCGUCGAGUGGCGGACGGGUGAGUAAUACAUAGGAAUCUGCCCAGUAGCGGGGGACAACCUGGUGAAAACCAGGCUAAUACCGCAUACGACCUACGGGUGAAAGCAGGGGAUCUUCGGACCUUGCACUACUGGAUGAGCCUAUGUCAGAUUAGCUUGUUGGUGGGGUAAUGGCCUACCAAGGCGACGAUCUGUAGCUGGUCUGAGAGGACGAUCAGCCACACUGGGACUGAGACACGGCCCAGACUCCUACGGGAGGCAGCAGUGGGGAAUAUUGCACAAUGGGCGAAAGCCUGAUGCAGCAAUGCCGCGUGUGUGAAGAAGGCCUGCGGGUUGUAAAGCACUUUCAGUGGGGAGGAAACAGUUGCGGGUUAAUAUCCCGUGGCCUUGACGUUACCCACAGAAGAAGCACCGGCUAACUCUGUGCCAGCAGCCGCGGUAAUACAGAGGGUGCGAGCGUUAAUCGGAAUUACUGGGCGUAAAGCGCGCGUAGGCGGCUUGGUCAGUCGGAUGUGAAAGCCCCGGGCUUAACCUGGGAAUUGCAUUCGAUACUGCCAGGCUAGAAUGUAGUAGAG
rnacentral:rRNA from 1 species